rnacentral:rRNA from 1 species
CCUACGGGAGGCAGCAGUGGGGAAUCUUGCGCAAUGGGGGCAACCCUGACGCAGCCAUGCCGCGUGAAUGAUGAAGGCCUUAGGGUUGUAAAGUUCUUUUGCCCGUGACGAUGAUGACGGUAACGGGAGAAUAAGCUCCGGCUAACUUCGUGCCAGCAGCCGCGGUAAUACGAAGGGGGCUAGCGUUGUUCGGAAUUACUGGGCGUAAAGCGCGCGCAGGCGGUUCGAUAAGUUAGGGGUGAAAUCCCUGGGCUCAACCCAGGAAUGGCCUUUAAGACUGUCGAGCUAGAGGACGAGAGAGGUGAGUGGAAUUCCCAGUGUAGAGGUGAAAUUCGUAGAUAUUGGGAAGAACACCGGUGGCGAAGGCGGCUCACUGGCUCGUUUCUGACGCUGAGGCGCGAAAGCGUGGGGAGCAAACAGGAUUAGAUACCCUGGUAGUCCACGCCCUAAACGAUGAGUGCCAGGUGUCGGGAAGCUUAGCUUCUCGGCGCCGCAGCUAACGCCUUAAGCACUCCGCCUGGGAGUACGGCCGCAGGUUAAAACUCAAAGGAAUUGACGGCGUGAGAGUUGCGAGCGACACGAGGAGAGG